UAGGGAAUAUUGCACAAUGGGCGAAAGCCUGAUGCAGCAACGCCGCGUGUGCGAUGAAGGCCUUCGGGUCGUAAAGCACUUUUCUGGGAGAUGAGAAAGGACAGUAUCCCAGGAAUAAGUCUCGGCUAACUACGUGCCAGCAGCCGCGGUAAAACGUAUGAGGCGAGCGUUAUCCGGAUUCACUGGGUGUAAAGCGCGUGCAGGCGGUUCGGUAAGUUGGGCGUGAAAUCUCCUGGCUCAACUAGGAGAGGUCGUCCAAUACUACCGGGCUUGAGAGCGGUAGAGGAAGAUGGAAUUCCCGGUGUAGUGGUGAAAUGCGUAGAUAUCGGGAGGAACACCAGUGGCGAAGGCGAUCUUCUGGACCGUUUCUGACGCUCAGACGCGACAGCUAGGGUAGCAAACGGG
rnacentral:rRNA from 1 species